ACGAACGCUGGCGGCGUGCUUAACACAUGCAAGUGGAGCGACGAACCAGGGCUUGCCCUGGGGCAGAGCCGCGAACGGGUGAGUAACACGUGGGUUACCUGCCCCGAUGACCGGGACAACCCGUCGAAAGACGGGCUAAUACCGGAUGUGCCCUUAGGGGUAAAGGAAGCUUCGGCCUCCGCAUCGGGAUGGGCCCGCGGCCCAUUAGCUUGUUGGUGGGGUAACGGCCUACCAAGGCAACGAUGGGUAGCUGGUCUGAGAGGACGAUCAGCCACACUGGGACUGAGACACGGCCCAGACUCCUACGGGAGGCAGCAGUGGGGAAUCUUGCACAAUGCGCGAAAGCGUGAUGCAGCAACGCCGCGUGGGGGAAGAAGGCCUUCGGGUUGUAAACCUCUUUCAGUUGGGACGAAGGUUCUACGGUUAAUAGCCGUGGGGACUGACGGUACCUUCAGAAGAAGCCCCGGCUAACUACGU
rnacentral:rRNA from 1 species